UACGUAGGUGGCAAGCGUUAUCCGGAUUUAAUGGGCGUAAAGGGAACGCAGGCGGUCUUUUAAGUCUGAUGUGAAAGCCUUCGGCUUAACCGGAGUAGUGCAUUGGAAACUGGGAGACUUGAGUGCAGAAGAGGAGAGUGGAACUCCAUGUGUAGCGGUGAAAUGCGUAGAUAUAUGGAAGAACACCAGUGGCGAAAGCGGCUCUCUGGUCUGUAACUGACGCUGAGGUUCGAAAGCGUGGGUAGCAAACAGG
rnacentral:rRNA from 1 species